GAUGAAGAACGUAGCGAAAUGCGAUAAGUAAUGUGAAUUGCAGAAUUCAGUGAAUCAUCGAAUCUUUGAACGCACAUUGCGCCCGCCAGUAUUCUGACGGGCAUGCCUGUUCGAGCGUCAUUUCAACCAUCAAGCCCCAGGCUUGUGUUGGGGACCUGCGGCUGCCGCAGGCCCUGAAAACCAGUGGCGGGCUCGCUGUCACACCGGGCGUAGUAGAUUUUAUCUCGCUCAGGGCGUGCUGCGGGUUCCGGCCGUUAAAAAGCCUUUUUUACCCAAGGUUGACCUCGGAUCAGGUAGGAAUACCCGCUGAACUUAAGCAUAUCAAUAAGCGGAGGA
rnacentral:misc_RNA from 1 species